rnacentral:rRNA from 1 species
GGCGAACGGGUGAGUAACACGUGGGUAAUCUGCCCUGCACUCUGGGAUAAGCCUUGGAAACGAGGUCUAAUACCGGAUAUGACACACGGCCGCAUGGUCUGUGUGUGGAAAGUUCCGGCGGUGCAGGAUGAGCCCGCGGCCUAUCAGCUUGUUGGUGGGGUAGUGGCCUACCAAGGCGACGACGGGUAGCCGGCCUGAGAGGGUGACCGGCCACACUGGGACUGAGACACGGCCCAGACUCCUACGGGAGGCAGCAGUGGGGAAUCUUGCGCAAUGGGCGAAAGCCUGACGCAGCAACGCCGCGUGGGGGAUGACGGCCUUCGGGUUGUAAACCUCUUUCGACAGGGACGAAGCUUUCGGGUGACGGUACCUGUAGAAGAAGCACCGGCUAACUACGUGCCAGCAGCCGCGGUAAUACGUAGGGUGCGAGCGUUGUCCGGAUUUAUUGGGCGUAAAGAGCUCGUAGGCGGUUUGUCGCGUCGGCCGUGAAAACCUGCAGCUUAACUGUGGGCGUGCGGUCGAUACGGGCAGACUUGAGUUCGGCAGGGGAGACUGGAAUUCCUGGUGUAGCGGUGAAAUGCGCAGAUAUCAGGAGGAACA